rnacentral:rRNA from 1 species
GAUGAACGCUGGCGGCGUGCCUAAUACAUGCAAGUCGAGCGAACAGACGAGGAGCUUGCUCCUCUGACGUUAGCGGCGGACGGGUGAGUAACACGUGGAUAACCUACCUAUAAGACUGGGAUAACUUCGGGAAACCGGAGCUAAUACCGGAUAAUAUAUUGAACCGCAUGGUUCAAUAGUGAAAGACGGUUUUGCUGUCACUUAUAGAUGGAUCCGCGCCGCAUUAGCUAGUUGGUAAGGUAACGGCUUACCAAGGCAACGAUGCGUAGCCGACCUGAGAGGGUGAUCGGCCACACUGGAACGGAGACACGGUCCAGACUACUACGGGAGGCAGCAGUAGGGAAUCUUCCGCAAUGGGCGAAAGCUUGACGGAGCAACGCCGCGUGAGUGAUGAAGGUCUUCGGAUCGUAAAACUCUGUUAUUAGGGAAGAACAAAUGUGUAAGUAACUAUACACGUCUUGACGGUACCUAAUCAGAAAGCCACGGCUAACUACGUG